rnacentral:sRNA from 1 species
UGCUGCUUGGUUUUAUAAAGUUAGCCAAUAUUAUUCAAGUUGUGAAAUUCCUAAUUCUUAUUUUAUAUUUGCUCAAGAAUCUUAAGAAGAAGGUACUUGAAAAGGAGGCCCAUAUCCAAGAACUUUCUUGUUUGUUUCAGAGUGAAAAGAGCUUAGAAACCAAGAUAGCCAAGUGGAACCUGCAAUCAAGAAUGAAUAAGAAUGAGGCUAUAGUGAUGAAAGAAGCAAGUAAGCAAAAAACUGUAGCUUUAAAAAAGGCAUCUAAAGUUUACAAACAAAGGCUUGACCAUUUUACAGGAGCUAUUGAAAAGCUUACUUCCCAAAUUAGAGAUCAGGAAGCCAAGUUGUCUGAAACAAUUUCAGCUUCCAAUGCCUGGAAAAGUCAUUAUGAGAAAAUUGUAAUAGAAAAAACCGAAUUGGAAGUACAGAUUGAAACAAUGAAAAAGCAAAUCAUUAAUCUUUUGGAAGAUCUGAAGAAAAUGGAAGACCAUGGAAAAAAUUCAUGUGAAGAAAUUCUUAGAAAAGUUCACUCAAUUGAAUAUGAAAAUGAAACUCUGAAUCUUGAGAAUACAAAAUUAAAGACUACACUUGCUGCUUUGAAGGAUGAAGUUGUAUCUGUUGAAAAUGAACUCUCAGAAUUGCAAGAAGUAGAAAAAAAACAGAAAACCCUUAUUGAAAUGUAUAAAACUCAGGUACAAAAGUUGCAAGAAGCAGCUGAAAUAGUAAAAAGCAGGUGUGAAAAUUUGCUACAUAAAAAUAACCAAAUAACAAAAACCAAAAAUAAAAAUGUAGAGAAG